GUGCUCGCUUUGGCAGCACAUAUACUAAAAUUGGAACGAUACAGAGAAGGUUAGCAUGGCCCUUGCGCGAGGAAGAAUUUUAAAGUGAGCCCACACAGUAUGUU
ensembl:snRNA U6 U6 spliceosomal RNA